rnacentral:lncRNA from 1 species
GCAAGGGCAAGAAGGAAGUCGUCCCUUUUUCUCUUCUUCCUGCUCUGCUCUGAAGCUGCCAUGUGAUCCCGGCGAGAGAAGACGCCAGCAGCUAGCGUCCGAUAAGAUAAUUCUUUAUGGUUGAUACUUAAGACUGAGCUAGCAAGUAAGAAAUCCUACUCAGUUGGCCAAGCAGCAUUUGUACCUAAUCAGGGAGCACUAGAAAUGAAUGCGAGCAGAAUGCAACUGGAGAUGGCUUUAAAUAAUGCAGAUAACCAGAACCAUGGAAUCUUUAUGUCUAAUAUCUACUUAUGAAGCCAUUUUCUCUGUUGCACCCGGAGAGCUGAGGUCUACAUGCAAGGGAGAAGAAGCAUGGUCCUCAGGCAGUGGAUCUGCUAGUGCUCUGGUGAGACACAUGAAUCCCCUCUAAUGCUAUGGAUGACAGCCAUGAUGGGAUGUGGCAAUUGACAACAUCCCAGAGUAGGCAUCUGGGUGAUGAAGCUUAAGGUCAUCUGAAGAAUCCUGGCCCUCUUGCCUCUAGUCACGGUGGCUGGAGGGAGUAGCUAUUAGCUCCGCAGUCUGUGUAUACCCAGCUGUAUCAAGCACUACUCUGAUCCAGGACUUCGCAAAGUCAACAGGUCUACUGGACAACAUGAACAACACCCUCCAUUCCAACUUUCACAUCUGAAAGAGGUGGAAAGGAACUGAGGGCUGAGCAGCCGGAACCCGCCUCUGUAUGUUUGCCAUCAGGGUCUGAGGCAGAGUUCUGUGGAGGAGCUCUGUAUUCCCUUUCUGCCCCACUCUCCUCCAAUGCCUCACUGGGUCAAGCCAAGGAAUUUUAGGUGGGAGAGCCACACAGCACAGGUAUCUGCAGAAAGGGCAUCCAGAAUGUGGGAGCAGCUACAGAGAGCCCAUCAGAGGACCCUGGAAGGUUCAGGGACUUAUGCACAACCUCUGACCAAAUGCAAGCUAAACAAAAUUGCUCUGUCCCAGAGUAAACCUAGGGCAACUCAAGGAAGCCAGGUGCAAAGAGUCACUCUUGGUUGCCUGGGAACACCUUUUCAUGAAGGACAACCAGGAGCUGUUAAUCCUGGCAGAAGACAGGGAAUGACCACAAACUCACACACCACGUAGGCAGGAUCUAGGCUAUACUCAAGGGCCCUGUGUUAAAUAGAAAAUGGAAUUGGCUGAGAGUGUAUGCUAUUUGGAGCUGGCAGUAGUCCUGCAAUCCUAGCUACUCAGUGGGCAACUUAUUGGACAAUUUAGUGAGAUCAAUAAAAAGGAAGAAAAUGGGGUUGGGAAUAUAGCUUAGUGUCUGUGAGGUUCUAGGUUCAAUUCCCAGUGCUGAGAAGGAAGGGAAGGAGGGAAAGAGCAGAAAGACCAAGCUUGGCUUGGCUUGGCGUGGGUUACUUGGCACUUUUGGCCUCUGGCCCAUUUUAUCCUGCUAUGCAUCUUCUGAUGUAUGCAGUGCAUGUGAGAUCCAUUUAUUCCACUAGUUACUGAGCACUGUCUGGACACUG